AUUGAACGCUGGCGGCAGGCCUAACACAUGCAAGUCGAACGAGUGGCGGACGGGUGAGUAAUGUCUGGGAAACUGCCUGAUGGAGGGGGAUCACUACUGGCAACGGUAGCUAAUACCGCAUACCAUCAGAUGUGCCCAGAUGGGAUUAGCUCGUUGGUGGGGUAACGGCUCACCAAGGCGACGCUCCCUAGCUGGUCUGAGAGGAUGAACAGCCACAGUGGAACGGGUACACGGUCCAGACUGCUACGGGAGGCAGUAGUGGGGAGUAUUGCACAAUGGGCGAAAGCCUGAUGCAGCCAUGCCGCGUGGAUGAAGAAGGCCUUCGGGUUGUAAAGGACUUUCAGCGGGGAAGCGUUACCCGCAGAAGAAGCACCGGCUAACUCCGUGCCAGCCGCCGCGGUAAUAC
rnacentral:rRNA from 1 species